UUUUUUCUAAUAAAAUAGUCGAUGAGUCAAGUCGUGGAAAGUUCAUGUCGGAAAAAAAUCAUAACCUGCGGACGUGAGACUUUUUUUGUGCCUGGAAAUAUUAUUAGAGCAGAAAUUUAAGCCGGAAAUAUCUUCGCUUGGCGUAGCCAUCCCGCAGCAGCAGUAUCACCACACCACAGCCACAGCUCAUCUGCGCCGGGAGAUCGAUCUUUCGCCGAG